UGCCUUAUCAGCUAUCGAUUGUAGGUUAAACGCCUACAAUGGCUAUCACGGGUAACGGGGAAUCAGGGUUCGAUUCCGGAGAGGGAGCCUGAGAAACGGCUACCACAUCUAAGGAAGGCAGCAGGCGCGCAAAUUACCCACUCCCGGCACGGGGAGGUAGUGACGAAAAAUACUGUUGCGAGCCCCGAACGGGGCCUCGCAAUUGGAAUGAGUACACUUUAAAUCCUUGUACGAGGAUCGAGUGGAGGGCAAGUCUGGUGCCAGCCGCCGCGGUAAUUCCAGCUCCACUAGCGUAUAUUAAAGUUGUUGCGGUUGAAACGCUCGUAGUUUGACUUCUGCUCCGGACCGGCGGUCCGCCUUAGCGGCGGCUACUGCCGGGUUCCGAGCUGUGUCCCCGCCGGCGCACAUGGGGUUUUUAUGCCCUUAACCGGGUGUCCCCUUGUGGCCGGCACGUUUACUUUGAAAAAAUUAGAGUGCUCAGAGCAGGCUGGUUUUUGCUUACAGCCCGAAUGGUCGUGCAUGGAAUGAUGGAACAGGACCUCGGUUCUAUUUUGUCGGUUUUUCGGAACCCGAGGUAAUGAUUAAUAGAAGCAGACGGGGGCAUUCGUACUGCGACGCUAGAGGUGAAAUUCUUAGACCGUCGCAUGACGACCUACUGCGAAAGCAUCUGCCAAGGAUGUUUUCAUUGAUCAAGAACGAAAGUUAGAGGUUCGAAGGCGAUCAGAUACCGCCCUAGUUCUAACCUUAAACGAUGCUGACUAGCGAUCCGCCGCAGUUAUUCCCAUGACCCGGCGGGUAGCUUCCGGGAAACCAAAGUCUUUGAGUUCCGGGGGAAGUAUGGUUGCAAACCUGAA
rnacentral:rRNA from 2 species